CCCUGAGGUGGGAGUUCCAGUGCGGGCUGAGCUAACUAGCUUCAUCACCGGAGCACGAGACAGUGACUCACGGUCCCCAGGGGACCCUACAAGCCUCAGAGAGGUUUGGCUGGGAGGACUCACAGAGCCCUGCUAGCGGAGCUCACUGGUCCUCGCGGCCCUCGAGGUCACGCGUGCAGAGAAACUCUCUGUGGAGGCCCUGCUGUUGGCACCUGGGUUCGCUCCACACCCAGGAGGCCGCACCUUGCCGCCUCCAGCGCGUUUCAUGUCCUCAGCAGUUCCUGGACGAACAGGACAGGAGAAGGUACCAGACACACUGAUCAUGGAAGCUAUCAAACACACCAUUCCUGGCUAAGAAAACUGCUCCAGUCAUAGCCCCCACAGAGAGAAAUGGGCUCCAAGCUCUUGCUCACCCAGACUUGACUGUAUUUUGAGCAUGUGACCUGCACACCCUCCUUUGGCCAUGUGUGAUCAGACAGAGGCGGAUGCCUUGCCCAGGACCUCCAUACAUGAACUAACCGGCUGGUAUUGUCUGGUGGGGUCUGGCUCAAUCCCCUGCCCAAAUGGGAUCAAUCAAAUUAGAUCUUCCUUUGGGAAUUGAUUUCGGAAAUAAAGAGAAAGUGAGCCAGCUGGUAGCAGGACAAGAAUCAUGAAGAUACAGGUAGAAGAGGGGCGUGAAGACUGUAGUCACUGAAUCACACUGACGCCAGAGCUCCAGGACCAGUGGUUCCGAACCCAAAGCCUCUGCACAUAGGCUGGCAGCUACCCUCACAGUCUUGCAGGGACAGUGUCUGUGGAUGGCUUUGGCCAACAGGACCAUCAGGGACACCAGGAGACCCAGAAGCAAUAUGGAGCCCAGCGUGAUGACAAAAGGCACAUACCACGCUGAUGGAGAAUACAC